CCAUGAUUGGGAUAAUUCUUUGUUCCUAGCCUUGUACCAUCUUGGUCCAUUCCAGUCCUGCUCCUGCUUUUCCUUACUCUAGGUGUAUAAAACUACUAUGUCUCACAAUCCCCAUUGCUUCACAAGCCUUUAAGAGCAUGCAGCAUGAGAGGUGGGAGGGAAGAAAAGAACGGUGAUGAUGCUUCAGGGACUGUGGAGAAAGUAAACAAAAUGGUGACAAAAAGAGGCAUACUGGAGUCUGGGUGGCAGGGAGAGGAGAGCUGAGGAAGAAGACUGAUGGCUAUACUGAGCCCUAAUUAAAAGUUAAAGGCAGUAAAUGAGAAGAGGGAGUUCCUUACAAAGUGAAGCUGAUCUGUAAUAUCCACUCCAGAAAGUAAAUUUCAAUUGCACUGAGAGAUCAAAAGAAAUAUCACAGAAUAUAAUCUGAAAAUUUACCAUAAUAUAUCCUUACAAUGCUAAAACAUUAUAUUUCCAUAGGUAGUAAGCAACAGCAGGCAUAAACAAAUGCAAAUUGUGUUCCAUACUGUCAAAAUUAUUCCAGAACAGCAAAUUUAGACAUAUGUGAUUUUAAUUAGUUUGUGUACCAUAUGUUAAAAUAUUUGACACAUUCUCAGGAAUGUCUGCAUUUUGAAGUUACAAAGAAUUAUUAUUUUUUCUAUAAAGUAGGAAUUCCAAUCUAACACACCAACAGAAAUGAAGAUCCAAAUAUAGGUGAAGUUAUUUUCUACCAAAGUGAACCAUGGAACAAUGUGAAAUGACUAUUCACACAGUAAAGCUAAAAAUUGUUAAAUAGAUAGCCCAGGUUAAAGGACAGUGCUCCAAGGAAAAUAUUUUGAAGCAUGGCAGGGCUCAAUCUUUGGUUCCAACAUGUGACUCAGGACCAUCAUGCACACAGUGUCUGCUACUGUAUGCUGAGAGAUGGAAUUGUGGAUAUGGUUUACUGCUCCCUUCUAGCAUGUGGUUUAAACCUUGUGGAUUCAGUGUGUGAUCCACUAGUAAUGCUCUCCAAAUAUUCAUGCUUUUGCUCCAAGUGAAAAGGCAUCAUGAAAACUUACUCCACAGUCCUGGAAGAGGGGCAGGGCUCCUGAGUCACUCUGGGUGGCAGUGAUGUACAUUUCCACUGUAUUUAAGCCUUGCAUGAGUGUGGAUGCCUAUUUAGGAUUAGAUCCAUUGGUUGUAUUGCAGGGGUAAGUCAGAGAACUAUGGUUGUAUUUUAUAAUAGAAAAAUUCCCAAGAAAAGGUAAGCUAGGAUCAGUUUAAAGUAUUUCUCAGCUAUUUGAUUCCUAAUGAGAAAACUGAUUGAAGUGGUGCUAUUAACUUCAUAGUUCUGUUUGUAGCUUGUGCUUUUAACAUGACAAUUACCAUGUUUAAUGCUCUGUUGAGUAUUUUUGUUGCUAUUUGUUUUCUUUUGUAUUCAUUAAAUAUUAGUUUAAAAAA